rnacentral:rRNA from 1 species
CCUGGUUGAUCCUGCUAGUAGUCAUAUGCUUAUUUCAAAGAUUAAGCCAUGCAUGUAUAAGUAUGAAGUAAUUCAGACUAUGAAACUAUGAAUGGCUCAUUAAAUCAGUUAUAGUUUUUUUUAUGGUAUCCGCUACUUAGAUAACCAUAGUAAUUCUAGAGCUAAUAUGUGCAACAAACCUUGACUGCUAGAAGUAAUGCAUUUGUUAGAUAAAAAGAUGACAUGGGCUUUGCUUGUUUCUUUGAUGAUUCAUGACAGCUUGAUGGAUCAUAUGAACUUUAUGUUGAUAAUGCAUCUUUCAAAUUUUUGCCUUAUCAACUUUUGAUGGUAGGAUAGUGGCAUGCUAUGAGGGUGAUGGGUGACAAAGAAUUAAGGUUUAAUUCUAGAGAGGGAGAUUGAAAAAUGACUACCACAUCUAAGGUAGGUAGUAGGUGUGCAAAUUACCUAAUCCUAACAUGAGGAGGUAGUAACAGUAAAAGACAAUAUUAGGUUCUAUAAGUCUAGUAAUUGGAAUGAGUAUAAUCUAAAUCCCUUAACGAGGAUCCAUUGGAGGGCAAGUUUGGUGCCAGCAGUAUAAUUCCAAUUCCUAUAGUGUAUAUUUAUGUGGUUAUAGUUAAAAAGCUCAUAGUUAGAACUAGGGUUAGGUCAUUUGAUCCACUUCACGAUGAACACCGGCCUACUCAUCCCUACCACUGGCACUGUAUUCCUAGCUUUAACUAGUUGAGUCGUUCUUUCAGUGCUGUUACUUUGAAGAAAUUAAAGUGCUCAAAGUAGGCCUAUGCAUGUAUACGUUAGCAUGGGAUAACAUCAUAGGAUUUUGGUCCUAUUGUGUUGGCCUUUAGGAUCAAAGUAAUGAUUAACAAGGAUAGUCGAGGGAUUCGUAUUUCAUAGUUAGAGGAGAAAUUUUUAGCUUUAUGAAAGAUUAACAAUUGUGAUAGCAUUUGCUAAGGAUGUUUUCAUUAAUCAAAAAUAAAAAUUAAAGGCUACAAAAAGAUCAGAUAUCAUCCUAGUCUCAGCCAUAAAUGAUGCCGACUAGGGAUCAAUGGAUGUUACGUUUAGGACUCCACUGACAACUUAUUAGAAAUCAAAGUCUUUGGGUUUUAGGGGGAGUAUGAUCAUAAGGCUGAAACUUAAAAGAAUUGACAAAAGGGCACCACUAAGAAUAGAGCUUGCAGCUUAAUUUGACUCAACACAAGGGAACGUACCAGGUCCAAACAUAGUAAGGAUUGACAAACUAAGAGCUUUUUCUUGAUUCUAUAGGUGGUGGUGCACGGACAUUCUUAGUUGGUAGAGCAAUUUGUCUAGUUAACUCCAUUAACAAAUGUGACCUCAACCUACUAACUAGCUAUGUGGAGGUGAUCAUUCAUGGCUAGCUUAUUAAAGGGACUAUGGAAGCUUAGGCUAAGGAAGUUGAAGGCAAUAAUAGGUCUUUGAUGCCCUUAGAUGUUUUGGGCCUUAGCACGCUACACUGAUGUAUUGAACAAGUCUAUAGUCAUGGCUGAUAGGCCCAGGUAAUCUUUGAAAUUUCAUUAUGAUGGGGAUAGAUCAUUGCAAUUGUUGGUCUUCAACAAGGAAUUCCUAGUAAGCGCAAGUCAUAACUCACAUUGCCUAUGUCCUUGCCCUUUGUACAUACCACCUAUUGCUCCUACUAAUUGAAUGGUCCAAUGAAGUGUUCGAAUUACGAUGAUGUGGAUAGUUUGCUACCUCGAUGUCACUAAAAGUCCACUAAACCUUAUCAUUUAAAGGAAAGAGAAGUGAUAACAAGAUUUUUGUCGGUGAAGCUAUAGAAG